AUACAAUGAUGAGCUUCCACUUUUGGUCUGUGUUUCUGAAUGCUGUGAUUUACUUAUGAAGUUCUGAGUCA